UGUGUGUGUGUGUGUGUGUGUGUGUGCGUAUAUAUAUAUAUGCACACACACACACACACACACCACAUU
rnacentral:miRNA from 1 species